UCUGGUUGUUUGAAAGUUGUGUGGAACAUCCCCUUUCGCUCUCUCUCCUGUUCGGUCAUGGUGAGAUGUGCUUGCUUCCCCUUCUUCCCCUUCGCCUUCUGCCAUGACUGUGUAAGCACAGGAGGACCUUCAUCCAAAUCUGAUAUCAACUCAAGGUCUGGAUCUUGUUCACUGGCAAGGACCAUGCAAGGUGUUGUUGAUUUUCGCCUGCUUGCCAUUCUGAUGUUAUGAGGAAAAGCUCAGUGGUGAUUAAAAAGCAUCGAGGCUUAAAACUGUUCAGUGUUCUUCAUUUGAAAACAAUGGCUUUUGGUUCUUCAAGUCCAUUUUUGUGCUCAACAAGUCUCAUUAGCAGCUUUCUCAUGGUGCAAUCAAGUAAAGAGCUUAUUGUUGGCAGAUAAAAUACUGCUGAAUUUCUGAAAUUUUUGAAGCACAACUCCAAUCACCUACAUUAAAAUAAAUUUUAAAAUGUUUUAAAA
rnacentral:lncRNA from 1 species